GACAGAGGAGCCAAGCGUUGUCCGGAUUGACUGGGCGUAAAGCGCACGCAGGCGGGUGCGCGCGUGGGGUGUGAAACCUGGCCGCUUAACGGCCAGCGGCCAUCCCAUACGGCGCGCUGGAGCCUUGCAGAGGGCGGUGGAAUUGCCGGUGUAGUGGUGAAAUGCGUAGAGAUCGGGAGGAACACCUGUGGCGAAGGCGGCCCCCUGGCCGGCCCGUGACACCUGGAGACGCGAAGGCGUGGGGAGCGAACGGG
rnacentral:rRNA from 1 species